AUUGAACGCUGGCGGCAGGCCUAACACAUGCAAGUCGAGCGAGCGGCGGACGGGUGAGUAAUGUCUGGGCAUCUGCCCGAUGGAGGGGGAUAACUACUGGAAACGGUAGCUAAUACCGCAUACCAUCAGAUGUGCCCAGAUGGGAUGAGCUAGUAGGUGGGGUAACGGCUCACCUAGGCGACGAUCCCUAGCUGGUCUGAGAGGAUGACCAGCCACACUGGGAAUGAGACACGGGCCAGACGCCUACGGGAGGAAGCAGUGGGGAAUAGUGCACAAUGGGCGCAAGCCUGAUGCAGCCAGGCAGCGUGUAUGAAGAAGGCCUUCGGGUUGUAAAGCACUUGCAGCCGGGAGGCGUUACCGGCAGAAGAAGCACCGGCUAACUCCGUGCCAGCAGCCGCGGUAAUAG
rnacentral:rRNA from 1 species